ensembl:lncRNA
GGGGGGGGGGCUGAGAGGCAGAUCCGAGGUGUAUGGGAAGAUCCGAGGGGAGGGGGCAGCUCUGGGAGAGGUGGGCGGCUCUGAGGGGAGAGGGGCUGAUCUGAGGGGCGGUUCUGAGGUGUACGGGCAGAUCUGAGGGGGGUGAGGGGCAGAUCUGAGGGGAGAGGAGCAGUUCUGAGAGAGAUGGGCAACUGAGAGGAGGGGGCAGAUGUGAGGGGCAGCUCUGAAGGGAGAGGAGCAGUUCUGAGGUGCAUGGGCAGCUCUGACGGGUAAGGAGGCAGUCCUGAGAGAUACGGGCAGCUCUGAGGGGAGAAGGGCAGAUCUGAGAAGUGAGGGGCACUUCGGAGAGGUAUGAGGGGCAAAUCUGAAGAGAUAGGGGAGAUCUGAGGGGAGAGGGGCAGAUGUGAGGGGCGGUUCUGAGGUGUAUGAGCAGAUCUGAGGGGGGUGAGGGGCAGUUCUGAGGUGUAUGGGCAGCUCUGAAGGAUGUGAGGGGCAGAUCUGAGGGGAGAAUGGGCAGUUCUGAGAGAUGUGGGCAACUGAGGGGAGAGGGGCAGAUGUGAGGGGCAGUUCUGAGGUGUAUGGGCAGAUCUGAGGGGGGUGAGGGGGCAAUUCUGAGGGGAGGGGGGUGGGGGCAGGUUCUGACCACCCCUUCCCCUAGAGCAGGGACAGGAUCAGUGCUCAGCUCCUCGAGGUGCGUGCGCAUGUGAGCAAACACGCGGUCCUGGUGCAGCCCCCCAUGGCAGUGCCCUGUCUGCCCCCCCGCAGCCGCACGGAGCUGUGCCAUGUGUAGGGUCAGAGCUGUGCCAGGUGCAGGGUCAGAGCUGUGCCAGGUGCAGGGUCGGAGCUGUGAGACCCUGCAGAGCGGAGGGAUCGCACGGGAUCAAUCUCUGUGGCCACAGAGCGUUGUUACACCAGCAGCGUGGACUGACAGCUUUGCGUCGUGUUAUCGCGUAUCUGUUCCUGCUGCACUGCACACCGGCAGGAAUGCACGGCAGCCUCGAGAGGGACGCUGCUUUUCCCUGCUAAAUCUUUCUGCUGUUACUGAUAACCAAGAGCUGAACACGGACGCGUUCUCUUUCAAAAACGCCGCGUCCUUCUCCUCGCACCUCAUCGCUGGCAGAGCUGCUCCCAUGCAUUCCAGCACUCUGCUCACAGCCGCAAUGUCCGCUCCGUCCUGCUUGUGUUUCGCUGCCUUGGUAGGGCUGCAAACAUCAGAGGGAGCUGCAGGCUGCUGCUCGGCCCCGUGCGCUGCUGGAGGGGUGGACACUGCGCGGAGCAAGCGGCACCGGCCUUUGGCCACCGUGCAGGUGGCUAAUUAGAACCCUGUGUGUGAUGAAGUAAAUGAAAAUGAGUCGUUCUGCGGUGGUGGCCUGAUGGUUAAAAGCCGGACCGAUGGAAAGAAGCCCAGGAGAGAAAUAAGAAGGGAUCGUAUGGACGGCGCAGGAAUGUGCUCGGGGUGCUGUCACACCCGGGCAGGGGUGCGGAAGGGACGGGGAGAAGCGCCUGCUCGUCCCUGGAGCGAAGCAGAAGUGAUCAGCAGCGUUAUUAGACAAAGAGGCAGCGCCAGAAAUAGUGCCAUCUGGGAGACUUCCCCGAAAUAAAGCUGAGAACAAACGCUCCUAAAAACGGCGC